GCUGCUGGGUCUGGCGGUUUGGGCCUGCUGGCUAGCGGGCUGGCCUGCUGCUUGGGCUUCUGUGGCCUGCUUCUUUUUUUUUUUUUCUAUAAUGGCCUGCUUUUUUCCUUUUAUUUUUAUUUUUUCUUUCUCUUUUCUUCUUUUCUUCUUCUUUAAAACCCUAGCCAGCGCUCAUUUCUACCCUUUCGCCCACUGCCGCCGUCGACUGCUCUGUUUGGUGGCGCGGUGGUCCCGGCGUUCUUCCCUCCUCCUUUCUCUUCCCCUUUUUUUCUUCUCCCUUUUGUUUUCUCUCUUUUCUUCUCUUCUCCCCUUUCCUUUUCUUUUCUUUCUCUUUUGAAAGCUCGAAAGCUAGAGGCGACACCGCCCCUUCCAAUCUGCCAUUUGUCGCUCAAUCUUCCUCCGCCUUAGGUGGCCGUGGUGGUGGUACGGCAGUUACGGUGGUCGUAGGCAUGGUGGCGGUGGCAGCAGAGGAGGGGAAGUAAGGCCGAUUGGGGGUGUCAGGCGGUGUACGCAAGAACGCAGAUUGGGGGCGGCUUGUCAUGCCCAGAAGGACCAAAAUGUAACGGGUGCAAAGUUUCUGGGGAAACAUGCAAUUUUAGGAAAAUAUGGGGCCAAAUGUAAUUUUUAGAAGGUUUAGGGGUCAAAGUGCUAUUUUAAGAAAGUUUAAGGGUUGAAAUGUAAUUUUAAAAAAGUUUGGGGUCAAAAUGUAAAUUUCAAAAGUACAGGGUUAAAAUGUA